rnacentral:rRNA from 1 species
GAUUCUGGCUCAGGACGAACGCUGGCGGCGUGCUUAACACAUGCAAGUCAACGGGGCGAAGAGAAGCUUGCUUUCCUAGCCUAGUGGCAAACGGGUGAGUAACGCGUAGGCAACCUGCCCUUCAGAUGGGGACAACAUUCGAAAGGAAUGCUAAUACCGAAUGACGUGCAUUGGUCGCAUGACCGAUGUACCAAAGGCCGGGCAACCGGUCACUGAAGGAUGGGCCUGCGUCUGAUUAGCUAGUUGGUGGGGUAACGGCCCACCAAGGCGACGAUCAGUAGCCGGUCUGAGAGGAUGAACGGCCACAUUGGGACUGAGACACGGCCCAAACUCCUACGGGAGGCAGCAGUGGGGAAUCUUCCGCAAUGGGCGCAAGCCUGACGGAGCAACGCCGCGUGAGUAGAAGAAGGUUUUCGGAUCGUAAAGUUCUGUUGUCAGGGACGAGAGACUUGAUCAGGAAAUGGGUCAAGGAGGACGGUACCUGGCGAGAAAGCCACGGCUAACUACGUGCCAGCCGCCGC